AACGAACGCUGGCGGCAGGCCUAACACAUGCAAGUCGAGCGCCCCGCAAGGGGAGCGGCGGACGGGUGAGUAACGCGUGGGAACGUACCCUUUGCUACGGAAUAGCCUCGGGAAACUGGGAGUAAUACCGUAUGUGCCCUUCGGGGGAAAGAUUUAUCGGCAAAGGAUCGGCCCGCGUUGGAUUAGGUAGUUGGUGGGGUAAUGGCCUACCAAGCCGACGAUCCAUAGCUGGUUUGAGAGGAUGAUCAGCCACACUGGGACUGAGACACGGCCCAGACUCCUACGGGAGGCAGCAGUGGGGAAUCUUAGACAAUGGGCGCAAGCCUGAUCUAGCCAUGCCGCGUGAGCGAUGAAGGCCUUAGGGUUGUAAAGCUCUUUCAGGGGGGAAGAUAAUGACUGUACCCCCAGAAGAAGCCCCGGCUAACUCCGUGCCAGCCGCCGCCGUAAGAC
rnacentral:rRNA from 1 species